ACACAGAGACACACACAGACAGCCAUACUGAAACACACAUACACACAGACAUACAGAACCACAUGGACACUGACAGACUCACACAUAGACAUACUGACACACUGACAGACAUACAGACAUUAUGGCACACAUACACACAGACAGACAUACUGAAACACACAUACACACAGACACUGACAGACGUACACACAUACAGACAUUUUGACACUCACAGACAGCCAUACUGAAACACACAUAUACACAUACAUACUGAACCACACAGACACUGACCGACUCACACACACACAGACAUACUGACACAUAUACACACAGAAGGACAUACUGAAACACACAUACACAG